AAUGAACGCUGGCGGCGUGCCUAACACAUGCAAGUCGGAUGUGCCAGCAAUGGUGCAUGGCAGACGGGUGAGUAACGCGUGGGGAACCUACCUCUUUGUGGGGAAUAACGCUCCGAAAGGAGUGGUAAUACCGCAUGUGAUCAUCGACUGUGAUGUUGGUGAUGAAAGCUGGGGAUCGAAAGACCUAGCGCAAGGAGAGGGUCCUGCGUCUGAUUAGCUAGUUGGUGGGGUAAUGGCCUACCAAGGCGACGAUCAGUAGCCGGCCUGAGAGGGUGAUCGGCCACACUGGAACUGAGACACGGUCCAGACUCCUACGGGAGGCAGCAGUGGGGAAUUUUGCGCAAUGGACGAAAGUCUGACGCAGCAACGCCGCGUGGGUGAUGAAGGUCUUCGGAUCGUAAAACCCUGUCGUCAGGGACGAAGGCAGAUGACCUAAUACGUUGUUUGCUUGACGGUACCUGGAGAGGAAGCCCCGGCUAACUCUGUGCCAGCAGCCGCCGUAA
rnacentral:rRNA from 1 species